UCUCAUUUAAACGAUCCAUACCCAUAACCUCUUAUGGAUCCUUGUAGCUCUCAAGCUACGCCAGUUGGAAUAAACUUCAGCGAAAUAUA
rnacentral:sRNA from 1 species